GGGGGUGGUUGAGUCCCGGUGGGCUCCACGGUCUUCAAAACCGCUGGAAGGCGUUGAAACGGCUUCGGUGGGUUCGACUCCCAUCCACUCCCG
rnacentral:tRNA from 1 species